GAUGAACGCUAGCUACAGGCUUAACACAUGCAAGUCGAGGGGCAGCAUGCUGAUAGCUUGCUAUCAGUGAUGGCGACCGGCGCACGGGUGAGUAACGCGUAUCCAACCUGCCUGUCACUCAGGAAUAGCCCGGUGAAAACCGGAUUAAGUCCUGAUGAUAUCAUUAGAGGGCAUCUGACGAUGAUUAAAGGUUACGGUGACGGAUGGGGAUGCGUCUGAUUAGCUUGUUGGCGGGGUAACGGCCCACCAAGGCGACGAUCAGUAGGGGUUCUGAGAGGAAGGUCCCCCACAUUGGAACUGAGACACGGUCCAAACUCCUACGGGAGGCAGCAGUGAGGAAUAUUGGUCAAUGGACGAGAGUCUGAACCAGCCAAGUAGCGUGCAGGAUGACGGCCCUAUGGGUUGUAAACUGCUUUUAUAGGGGGAUAAAGUGUGCCACGUGUGGCAUAUUGCAUGUACCUUAUGAAUAAGGACCGG
rnacentral:rRNA from 1 species